GCCUGGGUGGCUCAGUCGCUUGAGCGUCCGACUUCGGCUCAGGCCGUGAUCUCACGGUUCGUGGGUUCGAGCCCCGCGUCGGGCU
rfam:Felis catus isolate Cinnamon breed Abyssinian chromosome C2, whole genome shotgun sequence.